CCUAUUUGUAAGGGAAACUUGUGCAACCUGGUGGAGGUCUGCAGGAUGUUCUCCAUAUGCAUGAUGUUCUUGUUAGAGUUGCACUUGCUAGGUUGUGCCACACAAUAUCUAGAGCUCGGGCAUUAGAUGGUAUGCAUAUCUGAAAAAUAAUUACAUGAAUUUUAUGCUUUUAGUUUUUGGAAAAAUUGAUA